AGGUACUCCCGAGUCUCGCCACGGAUGGCGGCGAUAGGGAUAACGGCUGGUUGGCACAGCCAGCGGUUCACCUGUUCGACCGUAGUGAGGGCGUUUUCGCCCCACGAGAACAGUUGUGAACCGCGAACCGUAAUAUCCCAACGCGGUCGGGAAUCCUCGCCCUUUAGGGCGGGGA
rnacentral:ncRNA from 1 species